UUCAUUUCUGCUCAUGAGACUCUGAGUUUUAUUAAAAGAGGAAAUCUAAGGAGGAAAAUGGAUUUAUAUAACAGUUAAUUAAUAAUUAAUCAUCCACAACACUGAAUUAUAAACCUUCUACCUUAAUAUUUAAGCUUAGUAUUUAAUUGUAGUUCUGAAAAACAGACAAAGCAAGGUAUUGUCUCCUGCUGGUUGUAGUAAAUGAGGUAUUGUCUCCUGCUGGUUGUAGUAAAUGAGGUAUUGUCUCCUGCUGGUUGUAGUAAAUAAGGUAUUGUCUCCUGCUGGUUGUAGUAAAUGAGGUAUUGUCUCCUGCUGGUUGUAGUAAAUGAGGUAUUGUCUCCUGCUGGUUGUAGUAAAUAAGGUAUUGUCUCCUGCUGGUUGUAGUAAAUGAGGUAUUGUCUCCUGCUGGUUGUAGUAAAUGAGGUAUUGUCUCCUGCUGGUUGUAGUAAAUAAGGUAUUGUCUCCUGCUGGUUGUAGUAAAUGAGGUAUUGUCUCCUGCUGGUUGUAGUAAAUGAGGUAUUGUCUCCUGCUGGUUGUAGUAAAUAAGGUAUUGUCUCCUGCUGGUUGUAGUAAAUACGUUAUUGUCUCCUGCUGGUUGUAGUAAAUACGUUAUUGUCUCCUGUUGGUUGUAGUAAAUAAGUUAUUGUCUCCUGCUGGUUGUAGUAAAUGAGGUAUUGUCUCCUGCUGGUUGUAGUAAAUGAGGUAUUGUCUCCUGCUGGUUGUAGUAAAUGAGGUAUUGUCACCUGCUAGUUGUAGUAAAUGAGGUAUUGUCACCUGCUAGUUGUAGUAAAGGAGGUAUUGUCUCCUACUGGUUGUAGUAAAUGAGGUAUUGUCUCCUGCUGGUUGUAGUAAAUGAGGUAUUGUCUCCUGCUGGUUGUAGUAAAUGAGGUAUUGUCACCUGCUAGUUGUAGUAAAUGAGGUAUUGUCACCUGCUAGUUGUAGUAAAGGAGGUAUUGUCUCCUACUGGUUGUAGUAAAUGAGGUAUUGUCUCCUGCUGGUUGUAGUAAAUGAGGUAUUGUCUCCUGUUGGUUGUAGUAAAUGAGGUAUUGUUUCCUGCUGGUCGUAGUAAAUGAGGUAUUGUCUCCUGCUGGUUGUAGUAAAUGAGGUAUUGUCUCCUGCUGGUUGUAGUAAAUUAGGUAUUGUCUCCUGCUGGUUGUAGUAAAUGAGGUAUUUUCUCCUGCUGGUUGUAGUAAAUGAGGUAUUGUCUCCUGCUGGUUGUAGUAAAUUAGGUAUUGUCUCCUGCUGGUUGUAGUAAAUGAGGUAUUGAAGUAGAACCGCUGAUGUGCUUCCUGACCAGAGUGGAAGUGUUGUUGCUCCAGGUGAGGUUGCUGCUCAGGUGCACACACAAGUACCUGUAGCUGUCAACCACUUCCACCGCAGAUCCUCACAGACUGUGACCUGUUGGUCAGGAAGUCUAGGACCCAGUUGCACAGGGAGGAGCUCAGUCCAAGUGAGGAGAGUUUGGUUAUCAGGGUCUGAGGAAUCAUCGUGUUGAAAGCAGAUGUGAAGUCCACAAAGAGCAUCCGAACGUAGGAAUCCUUCUGCUCCAGGUGGGUGAGGGCAGUGUGGACCACGGAGGAAAUGGCAUCCUCUGUGAAUCAGUUCUUCCUGUAUGCGUACUGGUGUGGAUCCACAGUGACGUUGAUGGUGGCUUUGAUGUGGGCCUGAAAUAGUCUUUCAAAGCACUUUGUGACUAUCGGAGUGAGGGCUUCUUGCCGGUAGUCAUUCAGACCUGUCACUGUGGAGCUCUUGGGGACUGGGAUGAUGGUGGCGGUCUUCAAGCAAGUGGGGACAGCUGAUCUGCGCUGUCUCUUAGCACCCGUCCAGGGAUGUUGUCCGGUCCAGCAGGUGUCCGGGGGUUGAUCCACCUCAGCGUCCUCCUCACUUCUGCUGGUGUCACGCUGAGGGGCUCCUCUCCUGGUGAGUGUGGGAGUCUGGUGCUGGGGGGUGUGUCAGGAUUCUCAAAGCGGGCGUAGAACUUGUUGAGAGCCUCAGGCAGGGAUGGGUCUUUGGAGCUUUGUGCAACGUUAGAUUUGUAGUGAUGCACUUGAUGCCCCUCCACAUGCUCUGUGGAUCCUGGGAGGAAAAGUGUCCCUCGAUUUUCUGAGCAAAUGUAGCUUUUGCCCUCUUAACUCCAACAGUCAGCUCUCUUCUAGCCCUCCUGAGUUCAUCUGGGUCACCAGAUCUGAAGGCAGCAUCCCUGACU